ACUGAAAAGUUACUUGUAUUAAACAAGGUUUUCAAUUAGUAUAAUAAGUUGUAAUAAUAUUAUUUUAUAAUUAAUUUUUAAAAAGUAUAAUUAACAAAGAAAUUUAUUUAAAACAUUAAAUUAAAAGUACUGUAUAGGAAAAUUGAAAUAUUUGAAAAUUUUAUAUAAAAAAAGAACUAUAGUAGGGUACCUUUUGUAUCAGGAUUAAUCUAAUUUAUAAAUUUAUUUAUUAUAUCUCGAAAAUAUAAGAGUUAAAUAUUUUUAAAGUUUUUGUUUUAAAAAAAUUUUUAAGAAAUGUUUAGGUGCAAAACACUAUUCGAUUAUAUAAAUAUCUAGUUACUUUUUAUAAAAAUUUAGUUUAACAACUUUUAGAAUUUUUAAAUUUUUUAAAAUAAUUUUAAAAAGGGGUUAUAAUUUAGGGGUUGAGCUCUAAAUUAAUAAAAAUAAUAAAUCAAUUUAAAAUAAUUUUGUUUAAGCUUAAAAUUAGCUAUACUAGAAUGUUAUAAUUAAUAAAUUGUUGAUAAUAAUUUAUAUUUAUUUUUUUUAUUAAAAAGUUAUUACAAAAUUUAUAUUUUGUAAGAAAUAAUGGUUAAAUAAGUAGAUUUAUUAAUUAAUACUUUUUUUUAAAUAAUUAAAAAUUGUUUUAAAAUUAAUAUUGCUUUUAAAGAACUCGGCAAUAAGAUUUCCGAAUGUUUAACAAAAACAUUUCUUCUUAUAACAAGAAGUAAGACCUGCUCACUGAAUUUUAAAGAGCCGCAGUAUUUUAACUGUGCUAAGGUAGCAUAAUAAUUAGUCUUUUAAUUGGAGGCUGGUAUGAAGGGUUAAACGAGAAAUCAACUUUUUUGAAAGUAAAAAUCUAAUUUAGGGUUUAAGUGAAAACACUUAAAUAUUAUAGUAAGACGAGAAGACCCUAUAGAGUUUAAUAAAUUUUAAAUUUAGAAUUAAUUGUGAAUAAAGUAUUAGAUUGAAAGUUUAUUUUGUUGGGGCGACAUUAAAAUAUAAAAAACUUUUUAUUAAAGAAACUUAUAUUAAAGAAUAAAUUUGAUCCUUAAAAAAGAUUAAAAGAAAAAAUUACCUUAGGGAUAACAGCGUAAUCUUUCUUGAGAGUUCUAAUCGACAGAAAGGUUUGCGACCUCGAUGUUGGACUAAAAUUAGUAUAGGGCGCAGAAGUUCUAUUUUUUGGUCUGUUCGACCAGUAAUUUUUUACACGAUCUGAGUUCAGACCGGCGUGAGCCAGGUUAGUUUCUAUCUUUUAAUAAUCUUAUAUUAACUUAGUACGAAAGGAUUAGUUACUAGUAAAUUUUAUAAUAUAUUUUGAGGAUUAUUAAUUUAGGAUAAAAUAAAUUUGGCAGAUGGAUGUAACAGACUUAGAAUCUGUUUA
rnacentral:rRNA from 1 species